UACGUAGGGUGCAAGCGUUGUCCGGAAUUAUUGGGCGUAAAGAGCUCGUAGGCGGCUUGUCGCGUCGUCUGUGAAAUCCCACGGCUUAACUGUGGGCCUGCGGCCGAUACGGGCAGACUUGAGUUCGGUAGGGGAGACUGGAAUUCCUGGUGUAGCGGUGAAAUGCGCAGAUAUCAGGAGGAACACCGGUGGCGAAGGCGGGUCUCUGGGCCGAUACUGACGCUGAGGAGCGAAAGCGUGGGGAGCGAACAGG
rnacentral:rRNA from 1 species